rnacentral:rRNA from 1 species
GUCCACGCCGUAAACGAUGAAUGUUAGCCGUCGGCAUGCAUGCAUGUCGGUGGCGCAGCUAACGCAUUAAACAUUCCGCCUGGGGAGUACGGUCGCAAGAUUAAAAACUCAAAGGAAUUGACGGGGGCCCGCACAAGCGGUGGAGCAUGUGGUUUAAUUCGAAGCAACGCGCAGAACCUUACCAGCCCUUGACAUGUCGGUCGCGGAUUACAGAGAUGUUUUCCUUCAGUUAGGCUGGACCGAACACAGGUGCUGCAUGGCUGUCGU